GCCCAAAAUCAAGCCUAUGAGCCCACUAUAUGUAUUAAUUUACUCAUUAAAUUUUAAACAAAACAUUUUUAUAUUCCAGUAGAGGCGAUCAAAAAACUUAUAAGCGCUUUAUACAGAGUACCGCAAGGGAAUGAUGAAAUAGAUCUGAAAUAGCCCUAAAGCACAAUGUAGCAGAGAUACACC
rnacentral:rRNA from 1 species